GAAGCUGACCAGACAGUCGCCGCUUCGUCGUCGUCCUUUCGGGGAGACGGGCGGAGGGGAGGAAAGUCCGGGCUCCAUAGGGCAGGGUGCCAGGUAACGCCUGGGGGGGGAAACCCACGACCAGUGCAACAGAGAGCAAACCGCCGAUGGCCCACGCAAGUGGGAUCAGGUAAGGGUGAAAGGGUGCGGUAAGAGCGCACCGCGCGGCUGGUAACAGUCCGUGGCACGGUAAACUCCACCCGGAGCAAGGCCAAAUAGGGGUUCAUAAGGUACGGCCCGUACUGAACCCGGGUAGGCUGCUUGAGCCAGUGAGCGAUUGCUGGCCUAGAUGAAUGACUGUCCACGACAGAACCCGGCUUAUCGGUCAGUUUCACUU
rnacentral:RNase_P_RNA from 20 species